GAUGAACGCUGACAGAAUGCUUAACACAUGCAAGUCGAACUGAACUUCGGUUCGGGUGGCGGACGGGCGAGUAACGCGUAAGGAACUUGCCUCACAGAUAGGGACAACAUUUGGAAACGAAUGCUAAUACCUGAUAUUAUGAUAAUAUGGCAUCGUAUAUUUAUGAAAGCUUUAUGCGCUGUGAGAGAGCUUUUCGUCCCAUUGGCUAGUGGGAGAGGUAACGGCUCACAAUGGCGAGGAUGGGUGGCCGGCCUGGGUGGGUGACCGGCCACAAGGGAAUGGGGACACGGCCCUUACUCUUCCGGGGGGAAGCGGGGGGGAAUAUUGGACAAGGGACCAAGAGUGUGAUACAGAAAUUGUGUGUGGACGAUGAAGUUUUUCGGAAUGUAAAGUGCUUUCAGUUGAGAAGGAGAGAAUGACGGUACCGACAGAAGAAGUAACGGCUAAAUACGUG
rnacentral:rRNA from 1 species